GGAGCCGGCCAGACAGUCGCGUCAUCCCUUCGGGGGUGCCGAGGAAAGUCCGGGCUCCAUAGGGCAAGGUGCCAGGUAACGCCUGGGCGGCGCAAUCCGACGGAAAGUGCAACAGAAAGAUACCGCCUACGUCUUCUUCGGAGGGCCGGUAAGGGUGAAAUGGUGCGGUAAGAGCGCACCGCGAGUCUGGCAACAGACCGGCACGGCAAACCCCACCUGGAGCAAGACCAAAUAGGGAUCCUUUGGCGCGGCCCGCGUUGGAUCCG
rnacentral:RNase_P_RNA from 1 species